GACGAACGCUGGCGGCGUGCCUAAUACAUGCAAGUCGAACGCAGUUGCGAACGGGUGAGUAACGCGUAGGUAACCUGCCUUAUAGUGCGGGAUAACUAUUGGUAACGCUAGCUAAUACCGCAUAUUUCGAGAUGGACCUGCGUUGUAUUAGGUAGUUGGUGAGGUAAAGGGUCACCAAGGCGCCGAUUGAUUGCCGGCCUGAGAGGGUGAUCGGCCACACUGGGACUGGGGACCGGGCCAGACUCCUACGGGAGGCAGCAGGAGGGAAACUUCGGGAAUGGGCGGAAGUCUGACCGAGCAACGCCGCGGGAGGUAAGAAGGUUUUCGGGUCGUAAAGCUCUGGUGUUAGGGAAGCGGUAACUAACCAGAAAGCAACGGCUAACUACGUGCCAGCAGCCGCGGUAAUAC
rnacentral:rRNA from 1 species